UACGUAGGGGGCUAGCGUUGUCCGGAAUCAUUGGGCGUAAAGCGCGUGUAGGCGGUUCGGUAAGUCCGCUGUGAAAGUCGGGGGCUCAACCCUCGAAAGCCGGUGGAUACUGUCGGGCUAGAGUACGGAAGAGGCGAGUGGAAUUCCUGGUGUAGCGGUGAAAUGCGCAGAUAUCAGGAGGAACACCGGUGGCGAAGGCGGCAUCCUGGACCAAUAUUGACGCUGAGGAGCGAAAGCCAGGGGAGCAAGCGGG
rnacentral:rRNA from 1 species